UAUAUGAAAACACAGUUUGUGGCAAUUCUGUAAAUAAAAUUAUAUGAAGGGUUAUUCAACUAAAGCUGCACAGCCUGUUAAACCACCUAUUUAGCACGUUUUAGUUAAACUAAACCCACUAAGAGUCAAAUAAAAUCUCAAUAUAAUUUAACAAAUAUAACAAAACCCACGGAUGAGUCAAACUAAACCCACUAAGAGUCAAAUAAAAUUUCAACAUAAUUUGUUAAAUAUAUUAAAUUUAUUAAAAUAUUAAAAUUAAAAUACAAUAAUACACUAACAAAAAAAGAACAACAGAGGCAAAAUAGUCCCCACUAUCUACGAGAUAAUAAAAUAUUAAAAUACAAUAAUACACCCACUACUAAAUAUGCAUACAUCCACUAACAUUACAACUACUCAUUAGUAACUGACUGCUUUAGCAAUAUAAAAAUACGUACAUAUUAAUAAAAAAUAAUACACGCAAACCUACAAACAUAUACUUUCUUCUGCAAGCUUUCGUAUGCAGCAUUCUCUACAGGAAAAUAUGCCUCCACUUUUUGGUGUUGUCAAAGAGUUGCAGCCAGGAAAGAGCAAGAUUGCCUUAGAGCUUCGUCUGAUUCGCUCCUAUGAUGUUCUGAGAUUCAACAGUAAAAUCCCAUUAUCACUUGAAUGUGUCUUCCAUGAUAAAGAGGUUACAAAAUAUACUUUCUCAUUACUUUUCAUUAAUUUUCGAUAGGUUUUCAUGCUUUGAUAUUUUUUAAUUUAAAUCGCAGGGUAAUAGAGUUCAUGCGACUGUGAAUCAAUCUUCCAUCACAAUUAUGAAGCCAUUGCUAAAUGAAGGAAAUGUGUAUGCAGUCAAGGAUUUUGUGACUACAAACAACACAAUGAAGUUUAGAACCACAGAUUGCAAAUACAAGAUGCUUUUAUUCAGGCAAACUCAUAUUGUUGAAGUGGAGGAUGAUUCGUUUCCAAAUCUCAAAUACAAUUUUAUGAGCUACAGCGAGGUGGCAAAUCCCAUAUUAUUUGGUAAAUUGAAAAAUCAGUUUCUAAUCCCAUAUUAUAUUUUCAGAAUUUUAAAAUAUUUUAUAUGUUGAAUGCAGAUAUAAUAGGAGUCAUUGUUUCAAGCUAUCAACCGGUGAUCAAAGAUCAUAAUGGAAAAGCAACACAGCUCAUGGAAAUAGUUGUUGAAGAUCUAGAGGGAAGAACACUUUCUUGCACUCUAUGGGAGGAAUAUGCAGAAAAAAUGUUUCACUAUCUUAGUGAUGAACCAAAAACGCCCAACAAUCUACAAAGGUCAGAUUUUUUAACAUAUAAAUCAUAUAUUUCUAAAAAAUUACUAUUUACUUAUGUAUAAAAUUAUAUGCAGGAGAGGUUCGAAUUACAAGCUGUUACAAUGUAACAAACAUUAUUACAGAUGAAAAUGUUGCAGAAAUCAAGCAAAUGAAAGAAGAUUGGGGCAGAAUUAAAAAAGACAAGGACAUAUCUUUGAAGCUUAUGAAAAUUCCAUCAUAUCGUACCAUAGAAGAUGAACUUAAUGAUGGAAUAUCAAUGCUAAAGAUGAUUUCUGAACUAGGGGAUGGAAAGGUAUUAUUAAUAGAACAUUUUAUUUAGAUAUGAUAUACUGAUUGAAUUAGAAUUAUUUUAAUAGUGUAUUUUGGUCACUACUAUUUAAUAGGCUGGCACGUUUUGGAUUUAUGGUACAAUAUUUGCUGUUGAAACACUUGGAGCAUGGGCAUAUUUGAGUUGCAAACAAUGUAGUAAAAAGCUGAAAGUGGCCGAUGAUUCAUUUUUUUGUGAAAGUUGUGAAAGCUUUGAUGUUGAAGGGAGAUUAAGGUAGAUUCCUAAUUUUUUUAUAUAAAAAAAACGUUUUUAAAAAGAUAGGUUAUGACCAAGUAAAUUGUUUAUUAUGACAGAUACAAAUUAAGAGUUUGUGUUGCUGAUGAUUCUGUAAGUUGUUUACAGAUAAAUCAAUUUUUAAUAUUUAUUCGCAAUCUGUUUUUUUCAUUCACUAAUAAUAUGUAAAUCUAACAUUUCGUAGGCAUACGAAACUACAGAUUUGCCUUUUGAGAUAGAUGCAAUGGCGGGCAAAACAGCAUUGUUUAAAAUUGUUAUAAAGCCUGGAGAAACAAAAAUGUUUGACAAUGCUUAUGCUGUGAGCAAGAUUAAUUGUGAUCCACAUAUGAUUGAAAAAUAUUGUGGACCACAUGUGAAAAAUGGACGGCCUGGAACUAAGGUAAAAUAAAUUUCAAAUAUGUCAAGAAUUUAUUUCGAUUUAUUUUUGUUCUAUCACUUUAAGUUUAUAUAAUUGAUAAAUUAUUUUCAGGAAGGAGAAGGUUCUAGCAAUGCACAUUCAGUUACAACAGCAAUCAACUUGAGUGAAGAUGAGCCAAUGAAGAAGAAAAUGGAUGAUGAUAAUCGUGGACCCACAAUUGUGAAAAAGAAAAGCAAAAGAAUUGUCAUCAAGCAAGAGAAGCCUUGAGAAUAGUUCAUUUUAUGCUCCUAUGUAGUGUCUGCAGUUUUAUUAUUAUAGGAUAGGAUAGGAUUUGAAAUUUAUUCUUUAUCUUCCAUAGACAAGUACUCUUUUUCCACUUUCUUUUGAAGUGGUUUUAAUUAAGCUUGGCCCUUAAUUAGUCUUUAUGCUAUUAAGGGUUUUAGGGUCUAUUAGUUUUCUUAAAUUUCUUAGGAUUUGAAAUUUCUAAUUUAGGAUUUGAUAUUACUUACAAAAGUUGUUCACUGCAUUGGAGAUUUAAUAUAUUUUGAUUAUCAUUACGAUGGACUUCAUAGAAAAAAGCAUUAAUUUCUGUAUCUUCUUAAAACUUAUAUAAUAAGCACUGUCAAACAAAUAACAAAGCAGAAAACAUAAAUAAAAUGCAAUUCGAACAUAUCUAAAGAAAUUAAAUAUUGCAAAUACCAUCAUAAUUAAAACAUGCAAAUAAAGCAUGUUUUUUACUAAUAACUUAAUAAGUCACGCUGCUGAUAAAAUAAACAAUUUAUCAAAUCUAAUUAAUACGUUACCCAUAUAAAUCCAAUAUUUAGUCAUAACACAAUCACAAUACAUAUAAUAAAUAAUAAAUGUACAAAAGUAAAGCCACAAAAAGAAAUAUAAUCCUUAUUAUUUAAAAGUUGACCACAUUGCACUUAUAUGUAAUACCGAUGACAAUGACCCAUGAAAAUUAAUGACCACAAGUAAUAUUAGCAAAAAUUAAAAAAAUUCAGAUACAAAAGAACAAAAAUAGUGAUAUUUACCAAGU